UGGGGAAUAUUGGACAAUGGGCGCAAGCCUGAUCCAGCAAUACCGCGUGAGUGAUGACGGUCUUCGGAUUGUAAAGCUCUUUUAGUGAGGAAGAUAAUGACGGUACUCACAGAAAAAGCACCGGCAAACUUCGUGCCAGCAGCCGCGGUAAUACGAAGGGUGCUAGCGUUGUUCGGAAUUAUUGGGCGUAAAGCGUACGUAGGCGGUUUGGUAAGUCAAUUGUGAAAGCCCUAAGCUCAACUUAGGAACUGCAAUCGAAACUGCCUUACUUGAGUUUGGUCGGGGAUGGUGGAAUUUCUAGUGUAGGGGUGAAAUCCGUAGAUAUUAGAAGGAAUAUCGGUGGCGAAGGCGACCAUCUAGGCCAAUACUGACGCUGAGGUACGAAAGCGUGGGGAGCAAACAGG
rnacentral:rRNA from 1 species